rnacentral:tRNA from 1 species
GUGCUGCAUCUCAGUGGUAGAGCACUUGCCUAGCAUGCGAGAGGCCUUGGGUUGGAUACUCAGCACCACA